CGCUCCACUCAAUUCAGGAUUCACAGGAUUUAAUGUGGGGAUCUACUGGAUGAUAGAUCGACCUCAUUUGGUUCGAGCCCCCUUCCAGCCUUCAAGCACAUGGAGGGAUAUUGUUAUUCAAAAGAUGGGCCUGAUCAUUUGAAGAACAGUUGAACAAAUCAUGGCUUAUGGAUGUUGGAGAAUACCACUGUGCUCUAAGAAAUGGCAAAUAUGAGGAAUACAGAGAAGCAUGGGAAGACUUACAUGAACUGAUGCAAAGAGAGAUUGGUCUCUCUGAAACUCCAUCCAUUGCUGGGCUCUCUGGGGCCGAGGAGAACCAAGCUAACCUUUCCUCCAGGAGGACAGCCUUUGAAGCAUCAGAAGACGGCGAUCACGGUCGAAGCCUGAGUCCUCCUUUCCCUGGGAGCCAGAGCAAGAAGGUGGGGAGUGGAGUGUGGAUGGAAAGCAGAAUGGAGAGGAAACUUGGGAUGGUGAUGGUGUCCCGUUAUCCCAGAGGGAGGGACCGAAUCCUCCAAGCCUUCCGUGGUCUCUUCUCUGAUGCUUGAGGACCUCAUGUCCGAUGUGACCCACUUCAUGAUGGGUAGCAUGGGACUGGACUUGGAUUUAGCUAGAAGACCGGGGUUCGAAUCUUGGCUAGGGGACCCCAGGCAAAUCGCCCCAUUCUCAUCUGUCCAAUUGGGAGCUUGGGCUUGUUUGACGGCUUACAUUCCUUUCACAUCUGGAUCAAGGCGCCUCAGAAUCCCCAGAUUCCCCCAAAGCCCCGAGCUGGGGCUGCUUCCAGCAGAAAGCCUUUUCUGCUCUUCCCCAGUGCGACAGCCUCAAACGCUGCCCGAUCAUUUUCAGGAAUGAAAUUGAACCUCCUCACCAGGGCACGUGCGUGUCUCCACGGAGAGAGCAGACGCGGCCCCAUUCUUGUCGGGUAUCCUGAUGCUCAAUAAAUACUUGUUGAUUG